rnacentral:rRNA from 1 species
UACGGGGGGGGCAAGCGUUGUUCGGAAUUACUGGGCGGAAAGGGCUCGUAGGCGGCCAACUAAGGCGGACGUGAAAUCCCCAGGCUCAACCUGGGAACUGCGUCCGAUACUGGAUGGCUUGAAUCCGGGAGAGGGAUGCAGAAUUCCAGGUGUAGCGGUGAAAUGCGUAGAUAUCUGGAGGAAUACCGGUGGCGAAGGCGGCAUCCUGGACCGGCAUUGACGCUGAGGAGCGAAAGCCAGGGGAGCAAACGGG